AUACAGAGGGCUCGAGCGUUAAUCGGUAUCACUGGGCUUAAAGGGUGCGUAGGCGGGCCUGUAAGUGCUUUGUGAAAUCCCACGGCUCAACCGUGGAAUUGCUUGGCAGACUGCAGGUCUUGAGGUUGGUAGGGGCUGUCGGAACUCUAGGUGUAGCGGUGAAAUGCGUAGAUAUCUAGAGGAACACCAAAGGUGAAGACAGGCAGCUGGGCCAAUCCUGACGCUGAGGCACGAAAGCGUGGGUAGCGAACGGGAUUAGAAACCCCUGUAGUCC
rnacentral:rRNA from 1 species